rnacentral:rRNA from 1 species
CAGUAGCCGCGGUAAUACGAGGGGGGCAAGCGUUGUUCGGAAUUAUUGGGCGUAAAGGGUGCGUAGGCGGUUUGGCAAGUCUUAUGUGAAAUCUUCGGGCUCAACCCGAAGUCUGCAUGAGAAACUGCCGGGCUUGAGUAUGGGAGAGGUGAGUGGAAUUUCCGGUGUAGCGGUGAAAUGCGUAGAUAUCGGAAGGAACACCUGUGGCGAAAGCGGCUCACUGGACCAUAACUGACGCUGAGGCACGAAAGCUAGGGGAGCAAGCAGGAUUAGAUACCCCCGUAGUCCCUGUCUCUUAUAC